rnacentral:rRNA from 1 species
UACAGAGGGUGCAAGCGUUGUUCGGAAUUAUUGGGCGUAAAGAGCUCGUAGGCGGUGUGUCGCGUCGGCCGUGAAAACCUGGGGCUCAACUCUGGGCGUGCGGUCGAUACGGGCAUCACUUGAGUUCGGCAGGGGAGACUGGAAUUCCUGGUGUAGCGGUGAAAUGCGCAGAUAUCAGGAGGAACACCGGUGGCGAAGGCGGGUCUCUGGGCCGAUACUGACGCUGAGGAGCGAAAGCAUGGGUAGCGAACAGG